CCUACGGGUGGCUGCAGUCGAGAAUCAUUCACAAUGGGGGAAACCCUGAUGCUGCGACGCCGCGUGGGGGAAUGAAGGUCUUCGGAUUGUAAACCCCUGUCAUGUGGAGCAAAUUAAAAAGAUAGUACCACAAGUGGAAGAGACGGCUAACUCUGCGCCAGCAGCCGCGGUAAUAAAGAGGUCUCAAGUGCUGUUCGGAAUCACUGGGUGUAAAGCGUGCGGAGGCUGUUUCGUAAGUCGUGUGUGAAAGGCGCGGGCUCAACCCGCGGACGGCACAUGAUACUGCGAGACUAGAGUUAUGGAGAGGGAACCGGAAUUCUCGGUGUAGCAGUGAAAUGCGUAGAUAUCGAGAGGAACACUCGUGGCGAAGGCGGGUUCCUGGACAUUAACUGACGCUGAGGCACGAAGGCCAGGGGAGCGAACGGGAUUAGAUACCCCGGUAGUC
rnacentral:rRNA from 1 species